GCGAGUGUUCUGGGAGUGUCCCGAGCCGCACACAAUGUAACAGGCAUGAUCAGUUUGCUUUCACCGUAUACAAUGGAUUUUAGGACUGAGAAAUAAACUAGACGGUUACGUACAAGAAGGAAACAUGCUGUGAGGGAGGAAUGGACCACUGUGGAAUGUCAACGGCGAUGAAACCGAGGGUCAAGGAAUUGUGCGAGGCCGUCUGUGUAGUUUUGCAUGGCGCUGUGGACGUGGGUUGGGUGACCUCUGGUUUAAAUGUAACUGUUCUAAACUAGCUUGCCUUUAGGCAAUAUUAUAAAGUCGAUUUUACGUGCACAGUUACGCGAUGGUACUCCUAUGUUAGUAUUGGUCUUUUUAGAGCUUUUCUAUACGGUGCUAACCAAAAACCACAGAACCGUUGCGCUUGAAUAUACCUUUAAAACACUGAAUAGCUGUUACAGCACAUUGUUCUGUUUUACAGUAUGUACAGAUUCUGAAUAUGUGAUUUUUAGUGGAAUCGUAGCAGAAACGCGAAUUUUAUUCUGCAUCACUUACAAUUGUACACAUACUGUAUACACAGUCUGAGCCGCGAGUGUAUUAUUCUUAAUCGAUACCUUUAUCGGAUUAUCGAUCGUUAGAAGUGCUGAAGUUGUUUUAACCUACAGUAUUUGUGUAUUUUAUCAUUAUAUGAUGGGAGAAAGGUCUAUGAAUGUCUUUCGUUUUUGAAAAGUUUUAGAAUGUUUUGUCACUCAACACAUUUUACAUACAAUUUUUUAAAGUUUUAAAUUUUUUCUACCUUUGUUCAAGUGCGCUUUUAAUGCCGUCAUUGUGCAGUAUACACACACAAGACGAAUGUCUUGGACUGCAGUGCAAUGUAAUGAAUUAACCACAGGCACGUACAACUAGAAAAAAGUUUUGUGUAAUACAAUUUGAACACACGCGAAGUCUUAACAAAUCUAUCAAUGUUUCGACCAUGUAUUGACAAAUAUGGUUUCUGGAUAACAUUAUAGACUGCAGUAAUACAUUGCGUUUAAGACUGCGUUUAAGCCAUUUUUGUUCAAUCGAGGGUGCAUUCCCUCGUUUCACAGUUCGUGUUAGUUUUGGCAAACUGUGUUUUUGCAAGCACCAAGAACAAUCACCAGCUCCGUGUCCAUCUUGUCAUGAACGGCACACAAUCUCUGUCCACUCGUACUUGAUGUGACAAUUUGAGCCGGCGACGGUCGAAUAGGGUAACGGGGUCGGGGGUUGGGGCAGCAGAAAUGCCCGGGGACAGGACGGGGAUCCCAGCGGGGUUGCUGCGUGGCUCCGUGGGGUGCGAGGGCGUGGCGCAGCGCGAUGAGGAGCAGGACGACGAGGGGGAGGAGGACACGGUUGACGGAGGGGUGCAGUUCUUCGUCAAUCGGGGCGGUUUGCCCGUGAACGAGGCCACAUGGGAGAGGAUGUGGCGGCACGUGGCCCGGAUCCAUCCCGAGGGCGAGGCCUUGGUCAGGAGGAUCAGGGGAGCCACUGACCUGCCCAAGAUUCCAACACCAAGUGUGCCUGCAUACCAGCCAUUAACCACCAUCCCACAUCGCCUGGAAGCCAUACAGAGAUACAUCAGGGACUUGCAGUACAAUCAUACUGGAACACAGUUCUUUGAAAUUAAGAAGAGCAGGCCUCUUACUGCGCUGAUGGACAUCGCUAAGGAGAUGAUCCGGGAGUCACUGCCAAUCAAGUGUUUGGAGGCUGUGAUCCUGGGAAUUUACCUUACCAACAGCAUGCCCGGUGUUGAGCGUUUCCCUCUCAGCUUUAAAACUCAGUUCUCAGGGAAUUACUUCCGGCACAUCGUGCUGGGGGUGCACUGCGGGGGGCGCUUCGGAGCCCUGGGUAUCAGCCGCCGGGAAGACCUGAUGUACAAGCAGCUGGAGUACCGUACCCUGAGCGACCUGGUGCAGGAGUUCGAGAGUGCCUACCGGGGAUACUGGCACAGCCUGAAGAAGGUGAAGAUUGGCCAGUACGUGUCACACGACCCCCACAGCGUGGAGCAGAUCGAGUGGAAGCACUCCAUCUUGGACUUGGACAAGCUGUCUCCGGAGGACUUCCGCAGGGAGCUGGAGAGACACACCCGGGAUAUGAGGCUCAAGAUUGGAAAACCAGCCCCAUCUUCCCCUACCAAAGACAGGAAAAGAGACAUGGGCUCCCCUCAGCGAGGCCCGUCUAGCCCUUUACGGAGAAACAGCCGAGGGGAGAGACGGCCAUCCGGGGAAAAGAAGCCACCUGAACAGAAGCCUUCCUCAGACAUCAAUGGCUACCAGAUCCGAGUUUAAAACAUCCCAGCUUCUCAUGAGCCGCAGGACGCCGCUGGACCUCCAGACAGGAGCAAACCGGAACACACAGAGGAAACCCCUGUGAACAUGAGGACGCACAAACACAUACAGACUUCACACAGAUAGCACCCAAGGGGAUCUACUGUAACAGUCUGCAGGCAUGAAGCGUGUAGCUACUGCUGGAAUUCUACAAGCUGCCUAUCUGUGACUCAUGCUUGGCACCAGGUAGCUGUCUUGUGGGGUUUUGUUCCGUUCCUCAUGCAGAGCCUAAACAAGCACGCAAUGGCUCUCUGGCUAGAUGCCACCCCUCCCCCCCCAUAUGUCCAGUGGGGCUCAAGCCUGGAAAAUAGGACAUCUGCAGCUUAAUGGUCACACUCUCAUCUUGAAAAAAAAGCCACAGUUACACAAGCAGCAUGAGAACAUGCAGUACCCUGCUGGAAUAUCAGCACAUCAGGAUGAACAUGCAGGAAAGGCAAUAGAUGGGGCUACCAGGACUUAAUCAAAGUCAUGCUUUUCAGUCAGGGUGACAUCAAUCACUGCAGGUGGAAUUUUGUGCCAGUUAGACAUACUUGCCCAGACCCUCAAAUUUAGACCCUCCCAUCCUGGUGAGGUGUGGAGACUUGCUCUUUCCCAGAUAGUGGUCUGUUAUUCCGACUGUGUGCUUGGUAGUUAGAUUUUGCUAGGUUACAAACUGCACCCCAGAAGCUGAGUGAAAGCGCAUGAACUUAAGCCAGCCCCACUCUGUGCUCUGCUUUGAUUGUCCCCAGGCUUGGCGUCCAACAGGUUAAGCCAUCUCAUCAACCCUGUCCAAUCAACUCGCUCGCUAACAAGGCGAUUUGGUAACUUCAAGAGUCCAGCCUUCUGCCAAGUGCCCUUCAGAGUCACACAGAUCUAGCAGUGGGGAGCAAUGAUGUUCAGUUAAACACGCAGAAGAUUUACAGCACCUAACACUGCUCUUCUUAUGGGAAUCAGUCUUAUGCUAAAUCUCUCCCUUAAAAACCAAAUCCAUUUAUACAAUGACAGCAUAAGACUGCUGCCCCUUUAAAAGUGAACAAAACAGUUCAUCUCAAACUAUACAUUCUAUCUACAAUUGCACCAUGAAGAUUGUUACACUCGCUGUGAGGCAGCAUUAGAUUUGUUUGUAGGUCAAGGGGCCACACAGGUGAUGUGCAGAUCCGAUGAGUAAUGAGAUCAGAUGAGUAAACUACUGUUUUUACCACCUGGAGGAUAUUGCAUGUGCAGCAACUGUCAGUUGGAGUGGAAAUAACUCAAAGUUUUCUCCCACUUUAAAACCUGUACCUCAGGGGAAAAUCUGAAUUGUGAUCUAUUCAUAGACAUAUUGUAUAAUUUAAGGUAUUCCUUAAGAAUACCUUUUAAGACUGUGAAAGAAAAAUCUAGAUUGCAUUAGUUGUAACCACUAGUCUUCAUUCCUCCACCCCAAGGAGCCAGGGUCUGAUGAGGUCUAUGUACAAACUCUUCUCUGAUUCUUCUUCAAACUCAACACAUUUUUACAAACCAGAACAGGCAUGAAAUCAUUCAAAUUUCUAAUCCCAUGUCCUUCUGUCACCUUAAUUUCUUCCUGUUCCACGGAGACAUUUCUCCCGGUAUACCUCAGGCAGGUAUGAUUUUUAAAUCGAGAUGGGCGAGGUUUAUAUUUAUUUUAUUCUUAUGCACAUGUACUGUAGCAAGUCCUCAUCUCAGGUCUUUAUUCCCUCCAUUUUAAAUACUGUAUAUGGAGCCCAUGCAAGAACUGAAGUACAUGCUUGGCUGCACUCUGUGAUCUGAUGCAGUACAAGAUGAAUUAUUUACAGAAUUACACAACUGCUUCUCCACCCUUACAGUGUGCACAUCAGUAGAGCCAGACUAAAUCUGAACUCAAGAGAUUUCACAGUGGACAGAAAUAGAUAAAAAAAACAUCUUCUAAUUAACACUAAUUAGAACUUCUAAUUAACAUCUUCCAUUUAAUCGUUUCAUGAUUUAUCCUUGCAUGGAAGAUGGUGAAAGCUCAGACUACCUUUGCUGACACACCCUGUAGUAGCUUAUUUUUAAAUCCUUUAUGCAACUUGCUCUUAAGUGGCCGAUCUAAUUUUUAUUUCCAAGGACAGCCUGGACAGUACCCAGAGUACCCACAGGGCACUGUACUUACUGGAGCAAUUUGAGUAAAGUGCAGUACUGGAUGGUACAAUUCCACCUGGGAGUUGAACCCACGGGCUUCUGGUCUGGAAUAUAGAUCUCUAACCAUUACAGAGUGGCCUGGCGCCUCAUUUCUCAAACCCUAGUUUUCAUUCCCAGAAACUAAAAAUGGGCAGAGAAGAGACUAGAGAAGACUGAGCAGCUCGUGUGGCAAUUCUGGCUGCUUUGUUCUUCUCCUGCCUCUGCAAACACAUUUCAAACACACUGAGACAUCAUUUUCCACAACAUUUAUUCUGUCAGCUUUUCUUACUUGUUAAGUACUGUGUAAGCUGAAAUGAUAUGUCAACAUCCACAGCACAGACUUAAGGGGACAAACUAUGCGUGAAUGGAAAAAGAAAAGUUCUCUGGCAAAAACUCAGACAGCCACUUAAAAAUACAUUUGUAGUUUGAAUACACUAAAGUAACUGAGGGAAGAAAAGGGGGAAAAUCAUGCCUCCAGGAGCAACACGAAUGAUGGUUCAUGUGAUUGUUGAACUACCUGUAUUUUAACUAUGCACACUCACAACCACGGAGUCUGGACAGACAAGUAUAGGAAAAGAAAAGUCAUUACAUAAUGGCUUACUGAUACAAAAGGAAGCACUCUGUUUCUGUGUCGCAGGGUUUGGCAUUGCUGCAGAAGCACACCUACAUGUCUUAUAGGUUUCUUCAUAAAAUAAAUAAAAACGAGCUUAAAUGAAGUUCACAAGGUAUCAACAUACAGCAUCUUUGCAAUUGAAUUGGUGACAGCUUGACCUUAAUCAUCAAUUAUGAUUCUCAACAUCUUUCUUAUUAUACUUACACACCUGUUCUCAUUGCUUAGUUAAAUGUUACAAAAUGUAAGCAAUAUGAAGCAACUACCAAAACAGCAAGAAUUGUGCUUUUAAAAAUAAGUAACUAUACUAGUGAAAUGGAACAGGUAAAGGUAAAAGAAGAACAAACAUGUUUCAGCUGCUGAUCCUUCUUCAGAAGUGCAAUGUAUUUUUUUCUGUCUGCUUUAUCAGCACGGAAUCAACCUUUACUUGGUCCUGUGCAGCUUCCCUCUCACAUUUAUACAAGUGUAAUACCUGCAUACAUUCCCUUAAAAAUAAACCUUAAUUUUACUUUGUUUAAAACAAGCUUAAAAUAUUCCCAUUUUUUUGUGCUUUGUUCAAGAAUCAACAUCAUUCCUCACUCUAGGUUGCAUUCAUAAAAUGUUUACAUUGUUAAACUUAUCAUCCAUUUAUUUGAAAUGGGAGAACAAGAACUUGCUGAAAAAGCAAAAACAAACAUCUCUUAACUUAGAAACCUAAAUGUCAAUUUUUUCAGCUUCUUUGUGAUAGUGGUAAAGCAAAGUGUUAACUCAGAGUGUCGGUAAAUGUUGAAUGAAUACAACUUUCGAAGCUGAAAACAACCCCAUUACAAACAAGCCAAAACCAAUAAGCAAGUUUCUCUUUAUAUUCCUUGUUUCAGAGACCUGGAAAAGAAGGAAAACUUAAAGACAUUUUGUUUUUAAAACUGAAAAGACCACAGAAUUCUGUAGUUUCCUGGUGUAGGACUCAGCUCCUAAAUUUGAAAUACUGAGCACUGCUGUAUCAAUACCACUGCCUCAGGAUGCCACAGGUUGACAUGGCUGAUAUCUGGUACAGGAGGUGCAAGUACUGGAGU